rnacentral:tRNA from 1 species
UGCGGGAUCGUCUAAUGGUAGGACACAGCUCUCUGAAAGCUGGUAUCUUGGUUCGAAUCCAAGUCCCGCAGCCA